rnacentral:rRNA from 1 species
UACGGAGGGUGCAAGCGUUGAUCGGAAUUACUGGGCGUAAAGCGCACGCAGGCGGCUUGUUAAGUCAGAUGUGAAAUCCCCGGGCUCAACCUGGGAACUGCAUUUGAUACUGGCAAGCUUGAGUCCCGUAGAGGGGAGUAGAAUUCCAGGUGUAGCGGUGAAAUGCGUAGAGAUCUGGAGGAAUACCGGUGGCGAAGGCGGCCCCCUGGACUAAGACUGACGCUGAGGUGCGAAAGCGUGGGGAGCAAACAGG